UUCCUAGGAUUGAUGUGUUAUUUCUGAUUUUAUGCACUUCAUAUUCCAUAUAUUAUAACAGAAAAAUACUGAAAGCAAGUUUUAUACCUGGCUUCUAAUCAAUGAUAUCUCCUCCAUGAGCUUAUAUUCUGUUUGGUGUAGGUAAAAGAGAGGAAGCCUGAACUAGGAACACUUGAAGCCAUUGAUUCUGGAAAACCUUGGCUAGAAGCAGAUGCAGAUGUAGUAUGCUACAAAUACCUCAAGUAACAGCUUAUUUACUACCAUAUUUGGUGUCUUUAUGGUUGCUUCUUCAUAUUACGGUAUCAUCCCCUUAUUGCAGGUAUCAUCCCCACUCGGAAAAUAGACAUCACUAUAUGCUUGCGAUACACCUUGCUUGGUGAACCAUGCCUCAUGGUGUGAUUUGUGUUAAUCAUGAAGGAACAUGAUAGGGUGACCAUCCAUGAAGCUAUAGGGCAGCAAACUAUUAGUGUUGCCAAGCGUGGAAAUCCAAAUCAGAAGAUUGUGAAAAGGAAAUACAGGAAUGGCAGAAAGAGAUAUCUACUGCAAAAACAACCAUUAGCUCGAGGGACCUUGGGUGGUAUUAACUCUAAAUCAUUUUCUUUUGAGUUCAUUAGGGCUGCAGCAUAUAGAUUAACCAUGGAUGGAUGUUUAGGAAUUUGGGCAGUUUAUUUGUAGAAUUUCUAGUUUAUUUGUAGUAAAAUGUUAUUAGAAUUUGAAAUUUUAGAUUAGUGUGUUUUAGUUGAUAGAAUUGGUGUGUAGUAUACAUCUUAAAUUGAUUAAUGUUGAAAUAUAUUAUUUGGUAGUUAUGUUGGAA